UGUGGGCCGUUCUUAGCUUUUCCAGCAGCAGUGACUUCCCUGGAGCAAAUGUUUACUGAAAAACACCUCGUCUGGCUCACAGCCCUCAAAGCUGUAAAAGUUGCCCUUGUUUGCAUUUACCGUCUGAAGGGGAGUGUUACACAAACUUUAUUUUAAAAAAAGUGUUAGCGGCUCGUCCCUUCCUGCAACAAAAAAAUAAAACGCGACACCUGAUUGUGACACACAGCCGAGCUGGUCACAAGCCAGGGAUUCCCAUCUGCCCGUGCAGACCUCUUCAGGGAUGCUUUGAGGACAUCCCCAAGAACAUUUCCUCAACCCUGUUUGGAGUGCCCUGCUGUGAACAAGUUGCAGGAAACUUGACCCCAAGAAGGAGAAGACAAGAGAAUGAUCUGUUGAUAGGAUGAAGUGAAGUCGAAUGGAAGGAGACUGAAAAAGAGCAAACGUAUGCCAGCAGGAUGUUGGGAGGCUAUUGUCUAAGAAAUUGCAGAGUUAACAGCUCCUCUUUUACAUGGGAUUCCUGGGUUAUGGUGUCGCCAAGAAGGACAAAUAAAGUAAUCUUCAGCUGCAAAUGAAAACAU